rnacentral:rRNA from 1 species
AGAGUUUGAUCCUGGCUCAGAAUGAACGCUGGCGGCGCGCCUAAUACAUGCAAGUCGAGCGAGAAGACGUAGCAAUACGUUUGUAAAGCGGCGAACGGGUGAGGAAUACAUGGGUAACCUACCCUUGAGUGGGGAAUAACUAGCCGAAAGGUUAGCUAAUACCGCGUACGCUUCUUGGACUUCGGUUCAGGGAGGAAAGCGCUACCGUGGGUAGCGCGCUCUUGGAUGGGCUCAUGUCCUAUCAGCUUGUUGGUGAGGUAACGGCUCACCAAGGCUUCGACGGGUAGCUGGUCUGAGAGGACGAUCAGCCACACUGGCACUGCGACACGGGCCAGACUCCUACGGGAGGCAGCAGUAAGGAAUAUUGCGCAAUGGGCGAAAGCCUGACGCAGCGACGCCGCGUGGGGGAUGAAGGUCUUCGGAUUGUAAACCCCUUUCGGGAGGGAAGAUGGAAUGGGGUAACCCAUUCGGACGGUACCUCCAGAAGCAGCCACGGCUAACUUCGUGCCAGCAGCCGCGGUAAUACGAAGGUGGCAAGCGUUAUUCGGAUUUACUGGGCGUACAGGGAGCGUAGGCGGUUCGGUAAGCCCUCUGUGAAAUCUUCAGGCUUAACCUGGAAAGUGCAGAGGGGACUGCUUAGCUAGAGGACGGGAGAGGAGCGCGGAAUUCCCGGUGUAGCGGUGAAAUGCGUAGAGAUCGGGAGGAAGGCCGGUGGCGAAGGCGGCGCUCUGGAACGUUUCUGACACUGAGGCUCGAAAGCGUGGGGAGCAAACAGGAUUAGAUACCCUGGUAGUCCACGC